GUAUUAUAGAAUUGUAAUUGAGGCUGGCAAUGGCCUGGUCGGCUCGGUGCUCGCUUUUCGAAAAAGUGAGACCCGGGUUCGAUCCCAGCACGCACCAAUAUUUUUCAGUGAUUAUAAUUAAAAAUAUGUGCGUUACGUUACGUUGC